GUGAUGAGGGGUAUCAAAUCAGUUGAGGUGUGAAGACCUCGCGACGGACUGA
rnacentral:snoRNA from 1 species